rnacentral:rRNA from 1 species
GAUGAACGCUGGCGGCGUGCCUAAUACAUGCAAGUCGAGCGAACGGACGAGAAGCUUGCUUCUCUGAUGUUAGCGGCGGACGGGUGAGUAACACGUGGAUAACCUACCUAUAAGACUGGGAUAACUUCGGGAAACCGGAGCUAAUACCGGAUGAUAUUUUGAACCGCAUGGUUCAAAAGUGAAAGACGGUCUUGCUGUCACUUAUAGAUGGAUCCGCGCUGCAUUAGCUAGUUGGUAAGGUAACGGCUUACCAAGGCAACGAUGCAUAGCCGACCUGAGAGGGUGAUCGGCCACACUGGAACUGGGACACGGUCCAGACUCCUACGGGAGGCAGCAGUAGGGAAUCUUCCGCAAUGGGCGAAAGCCUGACGGAGCAACGCCGCGUGAGUGAUGAUGGUCUUCGGAUCGUAAAACUCUGUUAUUAGGGAAGAACAUAUGUGUAAGUAACUGUGCACAUCUUGACGGUACCUAAUCAGAAAGCCACGGCUAACUACGUG